GAGCUAAUACAUGCGAACACUCUCUGACCUUACGGAAAGCGUGCUUUUAUUAGGAACAAGACCAACCCGGGCUUGCCCGGCUUCGUUGGUGAACUCUGGAUAACUUCAGCAGAUCGCACGGUCCUCGUACCGGCGACAAAUCCUUCAAACGUCUGACCUAUCAACUUUCGAUGGUACUUUAUGCGCCUACCAUGGUCGUAACGGGUGACGGAGAAUCAGGGUUCGAUUCCGGAGAGGGAGCCUGAGAAAUGGCUACCACAUCCAAGGAAGGCAGCAGGCGCGCAAAUUACCCACUCUCGACACGGGGAGGUAGUGACGAAAAAUAACAAUACAGGACUCUUUCGAGGCCCUGUAAUUGGAAUGAGUACACUUUAAAACCGUUCCCGAGGAUCUAUUGGAGGGUAAGUCUGGUGCCAGCAGCCGCGGUAGUUCCAGCUCCAAUAGCGUAUAUUAAAGUUGUUGUGGUUAAAAAGCUCGUAGUUGGAUUUCGGCGGGUAUUGGUCGGUUUGAAUUGCUUCAAUACUGACUUUUUUACCCGUGUGUUUUGCCAGAAUUUAACGGGUGAUCUUCGCCGAUUGUCUGUUAGAACUGGCAGGUAUACUUUGAAAAAAUUAGAGUGCUCAAAGCAAUCUUGAUUGCUUGAAUAUUCGUGCAUGGAAUAAUGAAAUAGGAAGUCGUUUCUAUUUUGUUGGUUUUCGGAAAUCGACUUAAUGAUUAAUAGGGACAGUCGGGGGCAUUUGUAUUCAACGACAGAGGUGAAAUUCUUGAACCGUUUGAAGACAGACUACU
rnacentral:rRNA from 1 species